rnacentral:rRNA from 1 species
AUUGGACGCUGGCGGCAGGCUUAACACAUGCAAGUCGAGCGGAGUGAUGGUGCUUGCACUAUCACUUAGCGGCGGACGGGUGAGUAAUGCUUAGGAAUCUGCCUAUUAGUGGGGGACAACAUCUCGAAAGGGAUGCUAAUACCGCAUACGUCCUACGGGAGAAAGCAGGGGAUCACUUGUGACCUUGCGCUAAUAGAUGAGCCUAAGUCGGAUUAGCUAGUUGGUGGGGUAAAGGCCUACCAAGGCGACGAUCUGUAGCGGGUCUGAGAGGAAGAUCCGCCACACUGGGACUGAGACACGGCCCAGACUCCUACGGGAGGCAGCAGUGGGGAAUAUUGGACAAUGGGGGGAACCCUGAUCCAGCCAUGCCGCGUGUGUGAAGAAGGCCUUAUGGUUGUAAAGCACUUUAAGCGAGGAGGAGGCUCUUUUGGUUAAUACCCAAGAUGAGUGGACGUUACUCGCAGAAUAAGCACCGGCUAACUCUGUGCCAGCCGCCGCCGUAA